CUGGGGCGAGCGCCUCCCUGAGCUGGGCUUCCCUGAUUCCUUGCUGAUGACAGAGCCAUUCUCACUGGGCGACCUGCUGGAAGUAACCAUAGCAACAGGGAGAUGGGAAAGGUAUGAAUGAACACAUUUCUGGAGAGAAACUCCAACUCUGCUUUACUCUUUCAUCCACUUAUGAACUUAUGUUUACAUGGAGCCAUCAACCCAAACUUCUGGUCAAAAACAUAAGACCCAUUCUGAGAGGUUAUGCAGGCCACAACCAGCAGGAAUGAGGAGACUGAUGUGGCAAGAUGGAAAAGCCAGAAAAAUAAAUGCAACAUGGGUUUGGUUUUGGUUUCAGCAUCUUAAUAUCUUCCCAAAUGAAUUGGACUCCCGUGGUCAGCUGAACUAGAA